AUUGAACGCUGGCGGCAGGCUUAACACAUGCAAGUCGAACGAGUGGCGGACGGGUGAGUAAUGCUUGGGAAUCUCGCUUAUGGAGGGGGAUAACUACGGGAAACUGUAGCUAAUACCGCGUACCAUAGGAUGAGCCCAAGUGGGAUUAGGUAGUUGGUGAGGUAAAGGCUCACCAAGGCGACGAUCUCUAGCUGGUCUGAGAGGAUGACCGGCCACACUGGGACAGGGACACGGCCCAGACUCCUACGGGAGGCAGCAGUGGGGAAUAGUGCGCAAUGGGGGCAACCUGACGCAGCCAUGCCGCGUGAAUGAAGAAGGCCUUCGGGUUGUAAAGUUCUUUCGGUAGGGAGGCGUUAACUACAGAAAAAGCAACGGCUAACUCCGUGCCAGCAGCCGCGGUAAUAC
rnacentral:rRNA from 1 species